rnacentral:rRNA from 1 species
CGCUGGCGGCAUGCUUUACACAUGCAAGUCGGACGGCAGCACAGAGAAGCUUGCUUCUUGGGUGGCGAGUGGCGAACGGGUGAGUAACAUAUCGGAACGUACCGAGUAGUGGGGGAUAACUGAUCGAAAGAUCAGCUAAUACCGCAUACGUCUUGAGAGAGAAAGCAGGGGACCUUUGGGCCUUGCGCUAUUCGAGCGGCCGAUAUCUGAUUAGCUAGUUGGUGGGGUAAAGGCCUACCAAGGCGACGAUCAGUAGCGGGUCUGAGAGGAUGAUCCGCCACACUGGGACUGAGACACGGCCCAGACUCCUACGGGAGGCAGCAGUGGGGAAUUUUGGACAAUGGGCGCAAGCCUGAUCCAGCCAUGCCGCGUGUCUGAAGAAGGCCUUCGGGUUGUAAAGGACUUUUGUCAGGGAAGAAAAGGCUGUUGCUAAUACCAGCGGCUGAUGACGGUACCUGAAGAAUAAGCACCGGC